CUGAACUAUAGGCACCAUCUUUAGAAUCCCUCCUCCUGCUUUUAUGUUUGGUGGGAUGAGGUUCCAGUCCAUGGCCCAAGAUGCCGCUGGGGGCUGGCCCUGGGAACGUACAUCACUUACCCCAGCUCAGGGUCCCUGUCAGCCGCUGAGAUGACCACCCUGUUGGACUUAAAGAGAAACACAGAGGCACAAGACAGCCACUCAGGAAGGGAGAGGCAUAGAGGGAAUUUGCCCUGUGCUGGCCUGUCUCCAAGAAGGAAAAGCAGACACCCACACUGAGCAAGACUUCAGGGCGCUUGGGGGCAAGCGUGUGGAGCAGCCCCCGAGAUGCCCUCAUCUGAGGCUGAUGUCACACCCGGCCCCCCCAACUCUCCAGUGCGGGCACUCCUAGACUUGGGAGCGGCUCCUUCCUUCCGUGAAGACCUGCGUGUGGUUCCUGGAAGGACUCCAGCACACAGAGGCAGCCGGACCGCAGCUUCCUGUCUGCCUUCGCGCAGAGGAGGAGGAGUGCCAUUACCCAGCUGUGCACGCCCCGAGCCCGCGCCUCCUGGGCAGCUCUGACUCUGCAGCAGCAGGCGUCUACGCAGGCUCUUGGCACCGGGGCCACAGGUUCCCGGGUCUUCCUUCUAUCAUCCUUUCCUGCCUAGACUUUUCUUUAAGGGAGACCCUUCUUGGGGGGUGGUCUAGUUUCAGAGUGGACAUCACCUGGGCCGCCAGCCCGCUGGGGCCCUGAGACAGCCCCGGAGGCAGCGGACUGUCUUCCCUGCUUCUUUUAGAGGUCACUCGUUUCGUCUUGCAUCUGUCCUAUCUCAGCCUUUCCCUAGCUCCAGGCCACCUCCUCAGGGACCAGGGGGCUGGGGUAGUUUCUUGGUGACUGAAUUUAGGGAAGUAUCUUUACUGUAUUAUGUUAAACACAAUAGAGUUCCAGAAAUAGAUGAAACCAUCCACUUUCUCUUUUUUUUCCUGAUAAGGUGUUUACAAAGGACACGUCCAUCCAUCCUCAUAUAGAUACCCCCAGCCGCACUCACUGAAGGAGCACAGACCCAGCCUGUCCCUGCGCUGAGGUUGCUGUCCCCACACUCGGCUCUCCAGGGCUUCCUUAUAUGUGUGUGUGUUUUGUCCACGCUUAUUAAAUGACAUCAUAGUGUAUAUUUUCCUGUGACUGUUCUAUUUACUCACUAUCGGGUCAGUGAAUCACUGCUAAACAUCACCCCACUGUACAGGUGGACCCUGAUCAAUGGUCAGCGGAACCUUAUGCUUUUAUUUGUCAGCUACUCCUUGUGCACCUAGUACUUUGUGCCAGACACAGAGCUGGGCACUGGGAACCGAGAUGACAGGGUGAGAACAGCGUGCCCGGGGUCAUCCGGCCGUGAGCACCGGGCGGGAUCCGUGUCAGGGCAGAUUCCAAUUCAGCACUUGAUUGUUGUUCAGUCCCUAAGUCGUGUUCGACUCUGUGUGACCCCAUGAACUGCAGCAUGCCAGGCUCCUCUGUCCUCCAUUAUCUCCCAGAGUUUGCUCAGAUUCAUAUCCUUUGAGUCGGUGAUGCCAUCCAACCAUCUCAUUCUUCGUUGCCCCCUUUUCCUCCGACCCUCAAUCCUUCCCAGCAUCAGACUCUUUCAAUGAGUCAGCUCUUUGCAUCAGAUGGCCAAAGAACUGGAGCUUCAGCAUCAGUCCUUCCAAUGAAUAUUCAGGGUUGAUUUCCUUUAAGACUGAC
rnacentral:lncRNA from 1 species